AGUGAACGCUGGCGGCAGGCCUAACACAUGCAAGUCGAACGGCAACACAGUAAGACCUUGCUCUUACGGGUGGCGAGUGGCGGGCGGGUGAGGAAUACAUCGAACUCUACUUUUUCGUGGGGGAUAACGUAGGGACACUAACUCUAAUACCGUAUACGACCUACGGGUGAAAGCAGGGGAUCUUCGGACCUUGCGCGAUUGAAUGCGCCGAUGUGGGAUUAGCUAGUUGGUGGGGUCAACGCUCACCUAGGCGACGACCCCUAGCUGGUAUGAGAGGAGGAGCAGCCAGACUGGAAAUGAGACAAGGUACAGACUACGACGGGAGGCAGCAGUGGGGAAGAUUGAACAAUGGGCGCAAGCCUGAUGCAGCCAUGCCGCGUGUAUGAAGAAGGACUUCGGGUUGUAAAGUCCUUUCAGGGGGGAGGAAGGGAGUAAAGUUAAUACCUUGGCUCAUUGACGUUACCCGAAGAAGAAGCACCGGCUAACUCCGUG
rnacentral:rRNA from 1 species